rnacentral:rRNA from 1 species
UACGAAGGUCCCAAGCGUUGUUCGGAAUCACUGGGCGUAAAGGGAGCGUAGGCGGCGUGGUAAGUCAGAUGUGAAAUCCCGGGGCUCAACCCCGGAACUGCAUUCGAUACUGCCAUGCUUGAGUAAUGGAGGGGUAGCUGGAAUUCUCGGUGUAGCGGUGAAAUGCGUGGAUAUCAAGAGGAACACUCGUGGCGAAGGCGAGCUACUGGACAGUUACUGACGCUGAGGCUCGAAGGCUAGGGGAGCAAAAGGG